rnacentral:rRNA from 1 species
AGAGUGAACGCUGGCGGUAGGCCUAACACAUGCAAGUCGAACGGCAGCACAGUAGGAGCUUGCUCUUACGGGUGGCGAGUGACGGACGGGUGAGGAAUACAUCGGAAUCUACCUUUUGGUGGGGGAUAACGUAGGGAAACUUACGCUAAUACCGCAUACGCCCUUCGGGGGAAAGCCGGGGACCAGCAAUGGCCUGGCGCUGAUAGAUGAGCCGAUGUCGGAUUAGCUAGUUGGUGAGGUAAUGGCUCACCAAGGCGACGAUCCGUAGCUGGUCUGAGAGGAUGAUCAGCCACACUGGAACUGAGACACGGUCCAGACUCCUACGGGAGCAGCAGGUGGGGAAUAGUUGGACAAUGGGG